CCUACGGGCGGCAGCAGUGAGGAAUAUUGGUCAAUGGGCGCGAGCCUGAACCAGCCAAGUCGCGUGAGGGAGGACGGCCCUACGGGUUGUAAACCUCUUUUGCCGGGGAGCAACGGGCGUCACGUGUGGCGCCACUGAGAGUACCCGGAGAACAAGCAUCGGCUAACUCCGUGCCAGCAGCCGCGGUAAUACGGAGGAUGCGAGCGUUAUCCGGAUGUAUUGGGUUUAAAGGGUGCGUAGGCGGAUCGUUAAGUCAGUGUGAAAAUUUAGGGGCUCAACCCCUUCCCGACAUUGAAACUGGAGCUCUUGAGUGGAAGAGAAGUAUGCGGAAUGCGGGGUGUAGCGGUGAAAUGCAUAGAUAGCACGCAGAACCCCGAUUGCGAAGGCAGCAUGCCGGCUUCCGACUGACGCUGAAGCACGAAAGCGUGGGGAUCGAACAGGAUUAGAUACCCCAGUAGUC
rnacentral:rRNA from 1 species